rnacentral:rRNA from 1 species
GAUGAACGCUGACAGAAUGCUUAACACAUGCAAGUCAACUUGAACUUCGGUUUGGGUGGCGGACGGGUGAGUAACGCGUAAAGAACUUGCCUCACAGAUAGGGACAACAUUUGGAAACGAAUGCUAAUACCUGAUAUUAUGAUUUUAGGGCAUCCUAGGAUUAUGAAAGCUAUAUGCGCUGUGAGAGAGCUUUGCGUCCCAUUAGCUAGUUGGAGAGGUAACGGCUCACCAAGGCGAUGAUGGGUAGCCGGCCUGAGAGGGUGAUCGGCCACAAGGGGACUGAGACACGGCCCUUACUCCUACGGGAGGCAGCAGUGGGGAAUAUUGGACAAUGGACCAAGAGUCUGAUCCAGCAAUUCUGUGUGCACGAUGAAGUUUUUCGGAAUGUAAAGUGCUUUCAGUUGGGAAGAAAAAAAUGGCGGUACCAACAGAAGAAGUGACGGCUAAAUACGUG